GUUGAUGUGCGCAGAGGUCUUUAAGCAACUAGAAGUGAGACUGUCUCUUGUCCCGUACCACCUCUUCACACUGUUUACUUAUCGACAUUCUUCCCCCAAAUCUGUCCUGGAGUACCUCGUGAUUCAUCCAGCUAAAGUGGUCUGGGGUGGUUUCCAAGUCUGCUCUUUCUAAUUCCAUUCCCACCAUAAAAAGGAAGCUAUAUAUGAGAGAAACUGGAGAAAGCAUGUAUCUAGUGUUAGUCCUUGGGGAGCCAGUCUGGAAGAGCAUGAGAUUGAAGGACCAAAGCAGCAGGGGAAAAGUGGUUUUCAGCCUCUACAUUGUUGAGGGCAGCAGCCGCUUUAUGUGAGUGGGCUAAAUUACCCAGGAGUGAUUCUUUGGCUCUCUGUAUCCAUUAGCUUAUCAACAGGAAAAAGAAGAGAACCACACCUGCAAUGAUCUGAAGAUGGAUGAAGAUGAAUGAUACAAUUACGAUGACCGAAUCACCACAGUAGAGUCUGAGGGACUGGUUGCCUGUGGGAAGAAAAGAUGGCAAUGAUUAACCGGAUCUGCAGAAAUGGUUGUCUUGUCUGAUGCUGUGGAGUGGUCUCCGACCCAUAGCGACUCCAUGGACACAUCUCUCCCAGAGCGUCCCGCUUCCGUCUGCAAUCAUUCUGGUAGU